UUUAUGGAGAGUUUGAUCCUGGCUCAGGACGAACGCUGGCGGCGUGCCUAAUACAUGCAAGUCGAGCGAAUGAUGAAGAAGCUUGCUUCUUCUGAUUUAGCGGCGGACGGGUGAGUAACACGUGGGCAACCUACCUAGUAGAUUGGGAUAACUCCGGGAAACCGGGGCUAAUACCGAAUAAUUCAUUUCACCUCAUGGUGAGAUGCUGAAAGGCGGUUUCGGCUGUCACUACUAGAUGGGCCCGCGGUGCAUUAGCUAGUUGGUGGGGUAAUGGCCUACCAAGGCAACGAUGCAUAGCCGACCUGAGAGGGUGAUCGGCCACAUUGGGACUGAGACACGGCCCAAACUCCUACGGGAGGCAGCAGUAGGGAAUCUUCCACAAUGGACGAAAGUCUGAUGGAGCAACGCCGCGUGAGUGAUGAAGGUUUUCGGAUCGUAAAACUCUGUUGUAAGGGAAGAACAAGUACGUUAGUAACUGAACGUACCUUGACGGUACCUUAUUAGAAAGCCACGGCUAACUACGUGCCAGCAGCCGCGGUA
rnacentral:rRNA from 1 species